rnacentral:rRNA from 1 species
GACGAACGCUGGCGGCGUGCUUAACACAUGCAAGUCGAACGGAAAGGCCCUGCUUUUGUGGGGUGCUCGAGUGGCGAACGGGUGAGUAACACGUGAGUAACCUGCCCUUGACUUUGGGAUAACUUCAGGAAACUGGGGCUAAUACCGGAUAGGAGCUCCUGCUGCAUGGUGGGGGUUGGAAAGUUUCGGCGGUUGGGGAUGGACUCGCGACUUAUCAGCUUGUUGGUGGGGUAGUGGCUUACCAAGGCUUUGACGGGUAGCCGCCCUGAGAGGGUGACCGGCCACAUUGGGACUGAGAUACGGCCCAGACUCCUACGGGAGGCAGCAGUGGGGAAUAUUGCACAAUGGGCGGAAGCCUGAUGCAGCAACGCCGCGUGCGGGAUGACGGCCUUCGGGUUGUAAACCGCUUUCGCCUGUGACGAAGCGUGAGUGACGGUAAUGGGUAAAGAAGCACCGGCUAACUACGUG